UCUCACUAUUGAGAGGUGAAGCCAGC
rnacentral:piRNA from 1 species